GGCCUGCGCAGCUAUACAUGCAAGUCGAGCGAACCGAUUAAGAGCUUGCUCUUAAGAAGUUAGCGGCGGACGGGUGAGUAACACGUAGGUAACCUGCCUAUAAGACUGGGAUAACUCCGGGAAACCGGGGCUAAUACCGGAUAACAUUUUGCACCGCAUGGUGCGAAAUUGAAAGGCGGCUUCGGCUGUCACUUAUAGAUGGACCUGCGGCGCAUUAGCUAGUUGGUGAGGUAACGGCUCACCAAGGCGACGAUGCGUAGCCGACCUGAGAGGGUGAUCGGCCACACUGGGACUGAGACACGGCCCAGACUCCUACGGGAGGCAGCAGUAGGGAAUCUUCCGCAAUGGACGAAAGUCUGACGGAGCAACGCCGCGUGAGCGAUGAAGGCCUUCGGGUCGUAAAGCUCUGUUGUUAGGGAAGAACAAGUGCUAGUUGAAUAAGCUGGCACCUUGACGGUACCUAACCAGAAAGCCACGGCUAACUACGUGCCAGCAGCCGCGGUAAUACGUAGGUGGCAAGCGUUAUCCGGAAUUAUUGGGCGUAAAGCGCGCGCAGGUGGUUUCUUAAGUCUGAUGUGAAAGCCCACGGCUCAACCGUGGAGGGUCAUUGGAAACUGGGAGACUUGAGUGCAGAAGAGGAAAGUGGAAUUCCAUGUGUAGCGGUGAAAUGCGUAGAGAUAUGGAGGAACACCAGUGGCGAAGGCGACUUUCUGGUCUGCAACUGACACUGAGGCGCGAAAGCGUGGGGAGCAAACAGGAUUAGAUACCCUGGUAGUCCACGCCGUAAACGAUGAGUGCUAAGUGUUAGAGGGUUUCCGCCCUUUAGUGCUGAAGUUAACGCAUUAAGCACUCCGCCUGGGGAGUACGGCCGCAAGGCUGAAACUCAAAGGAAUUGACGGGGGCCCGCACAAGCGUGGAGCAUGUGGUUUAAUUCGAAGCAACGCGAGACUUACCAGUCUGACAUCUCUGACACCCUAGAGAUAGGCUUCCCUUCGGGGCAGAGUGACAGUGUGCAUGAUGUCGUCAGCUCGUGUCGUGAGAUGUGGGUAGUUCCCGCACGGCGCACCCAUGAUCUAGUGCAUCAUUAAG
rnacentral:rRNA from 1 species